rnacentral:tRNA from 1 species
AUCGAAAUAGUUGGGAGAACUUUAGACUGUAGAUCGAACGAUCCCUGGUUCGAUCCCGGGAUUCGGCA